rnacentral:rRNA from 1 species
UGAAACCGUUCAGGGGUAACCUGAGAAACCCGAAAGGUCGAAUGGGGAGAUUCAUUCGCGAACCGAACCGUCGGAGUGAGUCGUUGGAGUGACGGCGGCGUUCGCGCCGUUCGCGCCCUUCGUCUUACGAGCCGAUUUCGGACGCGUGCACUUCUCCCCUAGUAGGACGUCGCGAUCCGUUGAGUGCCGGUCUACGGCCCGCAGUGUAGCCCGCGAGCGCGGUUCGCCGUCGCUUUCGGACACGCGGUUGCCCGACCGGCUCGCUCGACGGUUCAUAGAUGGCGGGAGGCCGCGACUUAAGUUCGCGUCCGACCCACGGCAAGCUCGCACGCUGUG